AACUCUCAACGAUGGAUGCCUCGGCUCGAGAAUCGAUGAAGGACGCAGCGAAGUGCGAUAAGCACUGCGA
rfam:Perkinsus marinus ATCC 50983 gcontig_1104296691360, whole genome shotgun sequence.